rnacentral:rRNA from 1 species
GACGAACGCUGGCGGCGUGCUUAACACAUGCAAGUCGAACGGAAAGGCCCUGCUUUUGUGGGGUGCUCGAGUGGCGAACGGGUGAGUAACACGUGAGUAACCUGCCCUUGACUUUGGGAUAACUUCAGGAAACUGGGGCUAAUACAGGAUAGGAGCUCCUGCUGCAUGGUGGGGGUGGGAAAGUUUCGGCGGUUGGGGAUGGACUCGCGGCUUAUCAGCUUGUUGGUGGGGUAGUGGCUUACCAGGGCUUUGACGGGUAGCCGGCCUGAGCGGGUGACCGGCCACAUUGGGACUGAGAUGCGGCCCAGACUCCUACGGGAGGCAGCAGUGGGGGCUAGUGCACUGUGGGCGGGAGCCUGGUGCAGCGGCGCCGCGUGGGUUGUGACGGCCUUCGGGUUGUGAACCGCUUUCGCCUGUGACGAAGCGUGAGUGACGGUAAUGGGUAAAGAAGCACCGGCUAACUACGUG